GCAAUUUAUGCUUAAAUUGGUGGCCACAUGCACAUUAAGACUUUUUGUCCCUAAAUGACCCCUACAUGUCCUGUUGAGGUUUAUUAGUGCUGCAAAGCUGCAGAACUUCUGUGAUUCGCAAGCUCCUGUUCUACCGCCAAAGAACUUAUAUGGAUAGUUGUGAUGGAGAAAGGGAAGAUGUACUUACAACUCAAUCAAUUUGCCAAGGUGGUUUCGUAUGUGCUUAAAAGGAACGUCUCUGAUUUUUUGUGUUGAGCUUUCUGCAGAAUAUUCCAAUUAUGAUAGUCAUGAAGGCAAUGGGAAUGGAAAGUGAUCAAGAGGUUGUCCAGAUGAUCGGCAGAGACCCUAGAUAUAGUGCCCUACUUCUUCCAUCGAUUGAGGUUAUGGCUUUUAUGUCUCACAAGUUGCUUUAAUCUCGGGAAUGUGCAAGCCUCAGUAUAUUUACACAACAACAAGCUCUUGAGUUCCUCCAGGGAAAGGCCAAUAUAAUGCAUACAUUUUCCCAGGACUUGGUCUAGGCUUGAUAAUGUCUGGGCUUGCGAACUUUGGUAUUCUAAGAGCAUGACAAUUCAAUUUGCCGAUGGAGCGGCAUUAGUCAAAGGGACAAAAAGAUAGAAGAUGGCCACCCCAGAAGAAAACAACGAUGUGAAAACUCUUGAAACAUAGCCCAACAAAAGGAGAAACAAGAAGUCCAUCAUCUAGGAACACUUCACAAUAGAAAUUGUGAGUCCUAGAUCUAGAAGGGCAUGCUGUAAGCAGUGCAAGCAAAGUUUCACUUAUGGCAUAGGCUCGGAGGUCGCUAGCACUAGCCAGCAAAGUAAGGUGCGAUGAAUCAUUGACUGAACUGAUAAUGCAACGGGCAGAAAUUUCAGAAUUACCUAAAUUCACUGGGGAUUUGGAAAACUUGAAAAUUUUGAAUAUUGCUUACCGUAAGAAAUUGAGUAGUUUACCCAA